AUUGAACGCUGGCGGCAGGCCUAACACAUGCAAGUCGAACGGUAACGGGAAGAAGCUUGCUUCUUUGCUGACGAGUGGCGGACGGGUGAGUAAUGUCUGGGAAACUGCCUGAUGGAGGGGGGUAACUACUGGAAACGGUAGCUAAUACCGCAUAACGUCGCAAGACCAAAGAGGGGGACCUUCGGGCCUCUUGCCAUCGGAUGUGCCCAGAUGGGAUUAGCUAGUAGGUGGGGUAACGGCUCACCUAGGCGACGAUCCCUAGCUGGUCUGAGAGGAUGACCAGCCACACUGGAACUGAGACACGGUCCAGACUCCUACGGGAGGCAGCAGUGGGGAAUAUUGCACAAUGGGCGCAAGCCUGAUGCAGCCAUGCCGCGUGUAUGAAGAAGGCCUUCGGGUUGUAAAGUACUUUCAGCGGGGAGGAAGGGAGUAAAGUUAAUACCUUUGCUCAUUGACGUUACCCGCAGAAGAAGCACCGGCUAACUCCGUG
rnacentral:rRNA from 1 species